rnacentral:misc_RNA from 1 species
GCUAGCUAAGGUGGUUAGAGCGCAGGCCUGAUAAGCCGUGAGGUCGGAGGUUUCAAGUCCUCCCCCGGCGCUAACCAGAGCGCUCCGCAGAUCGGGAGUCUUCGAUUGGUGCAUCUAGUGCCGCGGGAACGCAGUCGCGUUCUUGGCUAUUCGCCGCAUAAGCGCUCGACGGGCGCUAGAAGCGGAUUGCGGCAUCAGAAGGCUUCGCCUUCGUUGAUGCACGCAUCGACGUCAUGGGAACGGGGCAAUAGCUCAGGUGCAUGAGCCGUUGCUUCGCAAGCAUCCGGUCAUCGGUUCGAUCCCGAUAGGCUCCACCAUCCCCUUCAUAUAUCCAGAGAAGAAGAAGAACGGUUUUCCAACCAAGGGCUGGUGAUAUGGAGCGCAUUGCGCUCCUCUUUGACAUUGUGAAUGGGUUUUUUAAUCGAUGCCGUGGCGACAUGGUUUUCGGUUCCGCGCGAUCUUCGGAUCGGAUGGAAACGGAAGCGAUGAUCGUACACGAAUGAUUAUCUGGCUGAGUUUAAUAACCGCAUUGUUCAACGGCAGGAAAAGCACUGAUCUCCAGUGUGUCGUGGUGUGCGACUACGAGCUGG